rnacentral:rRNA from 1 species
AUUGAACGCUGGCGGCAGGCCUAACACAUGCAAGUCGAGCGGAUGAAGGGAGCUUGCUCCUGGAUUCAGCGGCGGACGGGUGAGUAAUGCCUAGGAAUCUGCCUGGUAGUGGGGGAUAACGUCCGGAAACGGGCGCUAAUACCGCAUACGUCCUGAGGGAGAAAGUCGGGGAUCUUCGGACCUCACGCUAUCAGGUGAUCCUAGGUCGGAUUAGCUAGUUGGUGGGGUAAAGGCCUACCAAGGCGACGAUCCGUAACUGGUCUGAGAGGAUGAUCAGUCACACUGGAACUGAGACACGGUCCAGACUCCUACGGGAGGCAGCAGUGGGGAAUAUUGGGCAAUGGGCGAAAGCCUGAUGCAGCCAUGCCGCGUGUGUGAAGAAGGUCUUCGGAUUGUAAAGCACUUUAAGUUGGGAGGAAGGGCAGUAAGUUAAUACCUUGCUGUUUUGACGUUACCAACAGAAUAAGCAACGGCUAACUUCGUG